rnacentral:piRNA from 1 species
UUCAAGAAGCCUUGUUGCUUAGCUGUUGGUC